UGACCUUGACCUCAUUUUCAGGGUUCAGUGGUCAAAGUUAAGUUUUUGAGUUUUGGUCUUUUUUUCUAAUACUGUAUGCAAUAGGUCUACUAUAUUUGGUAUAUGGAAUGAUUGUAAGGUGUACAUGUCUAGCUGGCAGGUGUCAUCUGACCUUGACCUCAUUUUCAUGGUUCAGUGGUCAAAGUUAAGUUUUUGAGUUUUGGUCUUUUUUUCUAAUACUGUAUGCAAUAGGUCUACUAUAUUUGGUAUAUGGAAUGAUUGUAAGGUGUACAUGUCUAGCUGGCAGGUGUCAUCUGACCUUGACCUCAUUUUCAUGGUUCAGUGGUUAUAGUUAAGUUUUUGUGUUUUGGUCUGUUUUUCUUAUACUGUAUGCAAUAGGUCUACUAUAUUUGGUGUAUGGAAUGAUUGUAAGGUGUACAUUUCCAAC